rnacentral:lncRNA from 1 species
GAGGUGCUGUGCGCAAGAAGCUGGCGGAGGGCGGCCCCGCCCCCGGCCUCCUCCUCACACCUGUGGAGCGCAUGGUGGCAGAGACCUUUUCUGCCCACGGUCCCCAAGGCGAGGGCCAGACCACGGAGCCCCUGCCAAAUAGUAUUGAAGCCAGCCUUGAGGCUGCGUCCUCGCAUGCGGAGGCAGCCCGCCAGCUCCUGGCUGGAGCCAGCCGGCACCAACUGAUGAGGAGGACGAGACCCCCAGCUGCUUGUGGCUGCCCCUGAGGUCCCUGGAAGGGCCCAGCCUGCCUGAACCUGACCCCCUGGACUUACGAGGAGUCUUCCACGCACCCACCUCCUCACCC